GAUGAACGCUGGCGGCGUGCCUAAUACAUGCAAGUCGAGCGAACAGACGAGGAGCUUGCUCCUCUGACGUUAGCGGCGGACGGGUGAGUAACACGUGGAUAACCUACCUAUAAGACUGGGAUAACUUCGGGAAACCGGAGCUAAUACCGGAUAAUAUAUUGAACCGCAUGGUUCAAUAGUGAAAGACGGUUUUGCUGUCACUUAUAGAUGGAUCCGCGCCGCAUUAGCUAGUUGGUAAGGUAACGGCUUACCAAGGCGACGAUGCGUAGCCGACCUGAGAGGGUGAUCGGCCACACUGGAACUGAGUCACGGUCCAGACUCCUACGGGAGGCAGCAGUAGGGAAUCUUCCGCAAUGGGCGAAAGCUUGACGGAGCAACGCCGCGUGAGUGAUGAAGGUCUUCGGAUCGUAAAACUCUGUUAUUAGGGAAGAACAAAUGUGUAAGUAACUAUGCACGUCUUGACGGUACCUAAUCAGAAAGCCACGGCUAACUACGUG
rnacentral:rRNA from 1 species